GCCAGGUGUUGAGGCGGGCACCUGUGGUCCUAACUACUUGGGAGGCUGAGGCAGGAGACUCUCGCUUGAGCCUAGGAGUUGGAGGUUGCUGUGAGCUGUGAUGCCAUGGCACUCUACCCAGGGGGAUAGCUUGAGGCUAUGUCUCAAAGAAAAAAAAAAAGAAAAAGAAAAAAAUUUGUGUAUAAGGUGAACCACAGUCAUCAAACCCAUGUUGCCUGAGGGACAGAUGUUCUUUUUUUUUUUUUUUUUUUUUUUUGAGACAGAGCCUCAAGCUGUCCCCGUGGGUAGAGUGCUGUAGCAUCACAGCUCACAGCAACCUCCAACUCCUGGGCUCAAGCGAGUCUCCUGCCUCCA
rnacentral:SRP_RNA from 1 species